rnacentral:rRNA from 1 species
AGCGAACGCUUGCGGGAUGCUUCAAACAUGCAAGUCGCACGAGAAAGUUCCUUCGGGGAUGAGUAGAGUGGCGCACGGGUGAGUAACACGUAACUAACAUUCCCUUUCGCUGGGGAUAACUCCGGGAAACCGGAGCUAAUACCUAAUAAUCUGUUCGGAUCUGCGGAUCGGAAUAGUAAAGCUUCACAGCGCGGAAGGAUUGGGUUGCGGACGAUUAGCUAGUUGGUGGGGUAAUGGCUCACCAAGGCGACGAUGCGUAGCCGACCUGGGAGGGUGAUCGGCCACACUGGGACUGAGACACGGCCCAGACUCCUACGGGAGGCAGCAGUAGGGAAUCUUCCGCAAUGGACGAAAGUCUGACGGGGCAACGCCGCGUGAGUGAUGAAGGCUUUCGGGUCGUAAAACUCUGUUGUUAGGGAAGAACAAGUGCUAGUUGAAUAAGCUGGCACCUUGACGGUACCUAACCAGAAAGCCACGGCUAACUACGUGCCAGCAGCCGCGGUAAUAC